rnacentral:rRNA from 1 species
GGGUCAGUAGGUUGGUCGUGCCAAUGGUGUGUACUGGCUUUACUGAUUCCUCCUUCUUGAAGAACUGUAAUGUCAUUAAUUUGGUGUUGCAGGGAAACAGGACUGUUACUUUGAAAAAAUUAGAGUGUUUAAAGCAGGCUAACGCUUGAAUACAUUAGCAUGGAAUAAUGAAAUAGGACGUUCGAUCCUAUUUUGUUGGUUUCUAGGAUUGACAUAAUGAUUAAUAGGGAUAGUUGGGGGCAUUAGUAUUCAAUUGUCAGAGGUGAAAUUCUUGGAUUUAUUGAAGACUAACUACUGCGAAAGCAUUUGCCAAGGAUGUUUUCAUUAAUCAAGAACGAAAGUUAGGGGAUCGAAGACGAUCAGAUACCGUCGUAGUCUUAACCAUAAACUAUGCCGACUAGGGAUCGGAUGAUGUUAAUUUUUUAAUGACUCAUUCGGCGCCUUACGGGAAACCAAAGUGUUUGGGUUCCGGGGGGAGUAUGGUCGCAAGGCUGAAACUUAAAGGAAUUGACGGAAGGGCACCACCAGGGGUGGAGCCUGCGGCUUAAUUUGACUCAACACGGGAAAACUCACCAGGUCCAGACAUAGUUAGGAUUGACAGAUUGAGAGC